rnacentral:lncRNA from 1 species
CUUCUGUGGAUCUGAAAUAUUAAAUACCCUGAAAACAAAUACAGCAUCUUACAACUUUGGGCUUAGAAAAGCUGUUUUCAAAAACCCUUUAACAGUCUACGAGGCCACUGCAGAAGACAGAAAUAAAAAGAUGGUGAGGAAGAAAAGGACACCCGGUGACCUUGCAAUUGUACCUGUGCUAGGAUGGAGCAGUGCAAACGUGCCAAAAGGAAAGCAGCACAUCGUGAGGAUUCCAGCCUUUAUCUGAAGAACAUCUCUUAUCCAUAAAGAUCAUGGAGAGCUUUACAGCUGUGGAAGUGUGAAUAACACUGUUGAGUCCUUUCAGGCAGAGAGGUGAAAAGGCAGUCAUUGGACUGGGAAGGGGUAAUUGACUGGUGGCUUCUGUGACCCUGCUACUCAGAGAGAGAAGGACCUUGUCAGUCAGACAAAAAUUACUGCUUGGCAGAAGCACAGAAAUUUAGUCAUAUAGCUCCGGUUAUUAGUGAGGUCUGUGAAUCUUAACCCUUCAUACAAUGCUUUAAAAAUCAAGAAGAGGCAAAGUUAACAGCAGUUUAAAGGCAUUUAUGCCAUUAAUCAGAAACAAGCAAGCUGUCAGUGUCUCUCCUUUAAAAAAGCACAAUUAGAGAACCACGGGAGAGCAGGGAAGAUGGUGAAACCCAAGGAAGCCUCCAGGAGUUCUGCUUCCUGCAGUGCUAAUGAUGCUCCACAGAGGCAUGGGCACACAGGGGGCCUGGUUUGUGGCUGGAGAAGAAGGCUCAAGGUCACUGCUCCAAAUUUCACUUUUACACUGAAAUGUAAAAGGAAUCACUCGAGCCUUACAGAGACCGAGAGCAGAUCUUGGCACCGUCUUGUGUUUGUGGCCUCCCCAUCAUCAGAUGAAAGCUUUGCAGUCCAGCUGAGUUUGAGCGACCUUUACAACUCAAGAAAUCAAAAGCUUUGCUAG